CAUGUACUUGGAAAUUCCUUGUUUUCCACUUGUGGUAAUACAAAGUUUCCUUUUAACUAGAUUUAUUUUUCCUUUUUUAACUGAAAUAUUCACAGUACCGUAAAAUUCUUGCUUUCAAAGUGUAUGAUUAAGUGGGUUUUAGUAUGUUCAGUGGAGAAGGCAAUGGCACCCCACUCCAGUACUUUUGCCUAGAAAAUCCCAUGGACGGAGGAGCCUGGUAGGCUGCAGUCCAUGGGGUCAAUAGAGUUGGACACGACUGAGCGGCUUCACUUUCACUUUUCACUUUCAUGCAUUGGAGAAGGAAAUGGCAACCCACUCCAGUGUUCUUGCCUGGAGAAUCCCAGGGAUGGGAAGCCUGGUGGGCUGCUGUCUAUGGGGUUGCACAGUUGGACACGACUGAAGUGACGCAGCAGCAGUAUGUUCAGUAUGUUGUGAAUGUGCUGUGUGUUCACAUUAGUUCACAUGCACUAAUGUUCCAUUUCCAUUAUCCAUUUCCAGAACGUUUCAUUAUUUCAAACAGAAGUUCUCUACCCUUGCAGUUUCCCAUCUUCCAACCCUACCCCCCCGAUCCCUGGUUCCUUUAUUACACUCUCUGGCUCUGUGAAUUUGCCUUUUCUUGAUACCUUGUAUAAGUGGAACCAUACGAUGUUUGUCCUUUUGUGUCUGUCUUAUUUAGUGUGGUGUUUUCAAGGUUCAUUCAUGUUGUGGCAGGCAAUAAUAUUUCUUUUUGUGACUGAGUAAUAUUUCAUGGUAUGGAUAUACCAUAUUUGUUUAUCCAUUCAUCAGUUGGACAUUUGAAUUGUCCCACCAUUUGUGCAAUUAGAAGUAAUUCUUCUGUGAACAUUUGUCUACAAGUUCUUGUGAAAACACAAGUUUUAAGUUCUCGUGUAUACCUAGGCGUGGAACUGCUGGUUCAUACAACAACUCUGUUUAACUUUAACCAGAGUGUUUCUCAGUGGAGCUAUGCUGUUUUACAUUCCCAUCAGUAAUUUACGAGGGUUCCAGUUUUCCCACAUUCUUGCCAACACUUGUUCUUACCUUUUUGGUUGUAGCCAUCUGAGUGAAAAUGAUGGUGGCAUCUCAUAAUUUUGAUUUGCCUUUCUGUGAUGACUGAUAACGUCAAGCACAUUUUUAACGUGUUUGUUAGCCACGUGUGUAUCUUCUUUAAGGAAGUGUCUAUACUGAUCCUUUGCCAUCUUUUCAAUUGGGUGUUUGUCUUCUCAUCGUUGAGCUGUGAGUUCUUUCUAUAUUCUGGAUGCUAUACCCUUAUCUGAUAUAUGAUCUCCUCAUGUUUUCUCCCAUUCUGUAGGUUGCAACUCUACUUUCUUGAUACUGUCUUUUGAAAUAAGUUAAUUUAUAUUUUAAAAGUUAGUUGAUUUAAGUGGGGGAAAUAGGACUGCUGUAUUCAGAUGUGGCAAAAAGAUGUGUGAAUUACGGUUUGGGAAAGUGUCUUCUGUGAAACCACAAGCGUUUGGGGAAAAAAAGAGUGUGAACCUUAAAUGAGAAGUAAGUGAAUGAGGAGCACCGUCCCUCCAUACUGAUGUCAGCGGGUUCACUGCUAGAUGCACUGGGAUCAUUUGUUAGUAGAUUAUGAGGAAGCUUCUAUUGUAUUUUUUAAAUCAGUGAUAGGGAUUUAUUAAUGUCUUUUCUGCAUCUUUUGAGAUGGAGCAUCAGGGUUUUCUCCUUGCAUUUUCUAAUGAUUAAGAAUUAAUGGGAUGGUAAGCCCUCCUUUGACUUCUGAAACAAACUUUUCCAGGCCUGGAGCUCUAUUUUGUUGACAGAAAUGAACCAGAGGGUCGACUUUGACUUGGGGCCUUGCCAGGCAGGCAGGUGUGGGGAUCUCAGGAAAGGCAGACAUAACUUCAGGGCAUUGGUUUGAGCUCAGCUCUGAUAGCUGGUCCCUGUUCCCUGCUUUGGUGCUUAUGGGCACAUGCUUUUGGCCAAAUUCCUUAAAUUCUUAAAGCCAAUUUCCUGAGAAUGGGGGUAAAAACAGUGCAUCGCUCUCCAAAGGUGUGAAGCUGAAGUGAGGGGUGCAUGUGUGAAGCUGAAGUGAGGGGGCGGCGCCACCCUUCCUGUCCCUUAUGACAGAAACACCUAAGGAUAGAAAGUUCCCAGCCUUCUCUUCCCAGAUCGCACACAGUGGGGUGUUUGCCACUUCUUUGUGGAGGUUGAGUGAUUCUUUGAAAACUCAGUCCUGGACUAGUCAAUAUUUCUAUCUGAUCAUACACUUUUUAGGUUUAUUUUCUAAGAAAAUCACGUCAUUCAUAUGUAUUAGUGUGCAAUAUCCUUUUACAUUUUAUUUACAUUUUAAUAUCCUUAUGAGUAGUUUUCUUCACUUUGUUCUUUGUUUUAAAUGAACUUAUUGCUGACUGUGCUGAGUCCUCGUUGUCGUGCACGGGCUGUCUCUAGCUGCGGUAAGCUUGGGCUGCUCUCUAGUUGCCCGCGCAGAAUCCUCACUGUCAGUGGUUUCUCCCGUUGUGGAGCCCCAGCUCCAGGGCAGGUGAGCUCAGCAGUUGUGGAGCACGGGCUUAGCUGUCCGGUGGCAUGUGGAACCUUCCUGGACCAGGGAUCACACCUGUGUCCCCUGCAGGUGGACUCCGAACCACUGGACCACCACGAAGUCCUUCACUAUGUUCUUCCUACUGGUUUUUCUUUUUCUUGAAUAGUCUUUUAAGAACUCUAUUUUAUUGACCUUUCCAAAGAAGCAGCUUUAGAUAAAAUAACCAGUUCUACUGCUUUCAUUUUGUAAUUCAUAAAUUUCUGCUUUUAUUUCAUUCUUCUCUCUGGCUUUCCUUGGACUUUGUUCUGUUACUCUCUUUCUAGAGUCUUGCAUACCUCAUUCACUCAUGUUCAGACUCACACACUUUCAACAACGGAAGGAGGUGGAGAAUGGCACAGGGUGGCUGUGGCCUGAGGUCCUGCUCCAGCCCUGUGGCUCUGUCAUCCCUGUGACCUUGGACAGGGCCCUCAACUACUGGGCUGUGGGGCCUAAGAGAGGCUACUGAUGCCACCCAGGAGGAUGUACCAAUGCCAGCUGGUGGCUGGGGCCUGGCAGACACACAGGGAAUUCAGCAAAGAGAAGCAGUGAGCUGCUGUCGCCUCCUUCAAGCUUUGACUUCUAACGUUCAUCUCCAUGGCCAGACCCUGAGCUGGUCCCCAGGAACACAGAGUGUGUUUUGACUACCCCCAUUUCUGGGGCCUUUUAAGGUCAGAGCUUUGUUGCUUCUUCAUCAGGUUGGGACUUAGAUGGCCAUGCACGUCUCUCUCUCUCCUGCUGCAAUAAGCCCCACUGAGUCGGUGAGAGGAGAGACUGGUGGGGACCCUGUGCUUCCGACUUCGUCUUCCAGUCAAGGCAGUUCCCAGGAGGGAUUCCACAGAUGACGAUGGCUGAGACGGAGGACAGCAGGCGAGGCAGCCCUACUACGCAGAAGUGACUUCUCAAGUGUCUCAGGGUCUCGGAGGUUUCUGCACCCAUACACAUCCUGUCACCGCUGGCCCUGUCCUAGAAGCAUCAGGAUUGUAACUCGUGGGUGGGUUUGCCCGUCGGAUGUCACGUGCUCCCGGACGCUGUGCAGCGCAACACGACAGCAGACACAUCUCUGUGAAGCUGAGGGGACGCGUGUCCCCUGGCUGUGCCUGUGAAAGGGGUGUCCGGGGAGGACUGAGCCUGGGGGACGGGGAGCACGGAGCCGCCGCAGGUGUUUCUUUUCCUAGAUGCGGCUCAUGGCCGCAUCCAGGUUUUGCUUUUCACCUUUGAGUCUGUGAGAAAAUGAGC
ensembl:lncRNA